rnacentral:rRNA from 1 species
UACGAAGGGGGCUAGCGUUGCUCGGAAUUACUGGGCGUAAAGCGCACGUAGGCGGCUCUUUAAGUCGGAGGUGAAAUCCUGGAGCUCAACUCCAGAACUGCCUUCGAUACUGUAGAGCUUGAGUUCGGGAGAGGUGAGUGGAACUGCGAGUGUAGAGGUGAAAUUCGUAGAUAUUGGGAAGAACACCGGUGGCGAAGGCGGCUCACUGGCUCGUAUCUGACGCUCAGGCGCGACAGCGUGGGGAUCAAACAGG